AUCCUGGCUCAGGACGAACGCUGGCGGCGUGCCUAAUACAUGCAAGUAGAACGCUGAAGAGAGGAGCUUGCUCUUCUUGGAUGAGUUGCGAACGGGUGAGUAACGCGUAGGUAACCUGCCUUGUAGCGGGGGAUAACUAUUGGAAACGAUAGCUAAUACCGCAUAACAAUGGAUGACACAUGUCAUUUAUUUGAAAGGGGCAAUUGCUCCACUACAAGAUGGACCUGCGUUGUAUUAGCUAGUAGGUGAGGUAAUGGCUCACCUAGGCGACGAUACAUAGCCGACCUGAGAGGGUGAUCGGCCACACUGGGACUGAGACACGGCCCAGACUCCUACGGGAGGCAGCAGUAGGGAAUCUUCGGCAAUGGGGGCAACCCUGACCGAGCAACGCCGCGUGAGUGAAGAAGGUUUUCGGAUCGUAAAGCUCUGUUGUAAGUCAAGAACGGGUGUGAGAGUGGAAAGUUCACACUGUGACGGUAGCUUACCAGAAAGGGACGGCUAACUACGUGCCAGCAGCCGCGGUAAUACGUAGGUCCCGAGCGUUGUCCGGAUUUAUUGGGCGUAAAGCGAGCGCAGGCGGUUUGAUAAGUCUGAAGUUAAAGGCUGUGGCUCAACCAUAGUUCGCUUUGGAAACUGUCAAAACCUGAGUGCAGAAGGGGAGAGUGGAAUUCCAUGUGUAGCGGUGAAAUGCGUAGAUAUAUGGAGGAACACCGGUGGCGAAAGCGGCUCUCUGGUCUGUAACUGACGCUGAGGCUCGAAAGCGGGGGGAGCGAACAGGAUUAGAUACCCUGGUAGUCCACGCCGUAAACGAUGAGUGCUAGGUGUUGGAUCCUUUCCGGGAUUCAGUGCCGCAGCUAACGCAUUAAGCACUCCGCCUGGGGAGUACGACCGCAAGGUUGAAACUCAAAGGAAUUGACGGGGGCCCGCACAAGCGGUGGAGCAUGUGGCUUAAUUCGAAGCAACGCGAAGAACCUUACCAGGUCUUGACAUCCCGAUGCUAUUUCUAGAGAUAGAAAGCUACUUCGGUACAUCGGUGACAGGUGGUGCAUGGUUGUCGUCAGCUCGUGUCGUGAGAUGUUGGGUUAAGUCCCGCAACGAGCGCAACCCCUAUUGUUAGUUGCCAUCAUUCAGUUGGGCACUCUAGCGAGACUGCCGGUAAUAAACCGGAGGAAGGUGGGGAUGACGUCAAAUCAUCAUGCCCCUUAUGACCUGGGCUACACACGUGCUACAAUGGUUGGUACAACGAGUUGCGAGUCGGUGACGGCGAGCUAAUCUCUUAAAGCCAAUCUCAGUUCGGAUUGUAGGCUGCAACUCGCCUACAUGAAGUCGGAAUCGCUAGUAAUCGCGGAUCAGCACGCCGCGGUGAAUACGUUCCCGGGCCUUGCACUCACCGCCCGUCA
rnacentral:rRNA from 1 species